AAAUUGAAGAGUUUGAUCAUGGCUCAGAUUGAACGCUGGCGGCAGGCCUAACACAUGCAAGUCGAACGGUAACAGGAAGCAGCUUGCUGCUUUGCUGACGAGUGGCGGACGGGUGAGUAAUGUCUGGGAAACUGCCUGAUGGAGGGGGAUAACUACUGGAAACGGUGGCUAAUACCGCAUAACGUCGCAAGACCAAAGAGGGGGACCUUCGGGCCUCUUGCCAUCAGAUGUGCCCAGAUGGGAUUAGCUUGUUGGUGAGGUAACGGCUCACCAAGGCGACGAUCCCUAGCUGGUCUGAGAGGAUGACCAGCCACACUGGAACUGAGACACGGUCCAGACUCCUACGGGAGGCAGCAGUGGGGAAUAUUGCACAAUGGGCGCAAGCCUGAUGCAGCCAUGCCGCGUGUAUGAAGAAGGCCUUCGGGUUGUAAAGUACUUUCAGCGGGGAGGAAGGUGUUGUGGUUAAUAACCGCAGCAAUUGACGUUACCCGCAGAAGAAGCACCGGCUAACUCCGUGCCAGCAGCCGCGGUAAUACGGAGGGUGCAAGCGUUAAUCGGAAUUACUGGGCGUAAAGCGCACGCAGGCGGUCUGUCAAGUCGGAUGUGAAAUCCCCGGGCUCAACCUGGGAACUGCAUUCGAAACUGGCAGGCUUGAGUCUUGUAGAGGGGGGUAGAAUUCCAGGUGUAGCGGUGAAAUGCGUAGAGAUCUGGAGGAAUACCGGUGGCGAAGGCGGCCCCCUGGACAAAGACUGACGCUCAGGUGCGAAAGCGUGGGGAGCAAACAGGAUUAGAUACCCUGGUAGUCCACGCCGUAAACGAUGUCUACUUGGAGGUUGUGCCCUUGAGGCGUGGCUUCCGGAGCUAACGCGUUAAGUAGACCGCCUGGGGAGUACGGCCGCAAGGUUAAAACUCAAAUGAAUUGACGGGGGCCCGCACAAGCGGUGGAGCAUGUGGUUUAAUUCGAUGCAACGCGAAGAACCUUACCUGGUCUUGACAUCCACGGAAGUUUUCAGAGAUGAGAAUGUGCCUUCGGGAACCGUGAGACAGGUGCUGC
rnacentral:rRNA from 2 species